CCUACGGGUGGCAGCAGUGGGGAAUAUUGCGCAAUGGGCGAAAGCCUGACGCAGCGACGCCGCGUGAGGGAUGAAGGUCUUCGGAUCGUAAACCUCUGUCAGCAGGGAAGAACGGUCACUGUGCUAAUCAGCAGUGAAUUGACGGGACCUGCAAAGGAAGCACCGGCUAACUCAGUGCCAGCAGCCGCGGUAAAACGGAGGGUGCGAGCGUUAAUCGGAAUUACUGGGCGUAAAGCGCUCGUAGGCGGUAUGUCAAGUCAAGGGGGAAAUCCCGGCGCUCAACGUGGGAACUGCCUUUGAAACUGGCAAACUGGAGUGUGUGAGAGGAUAGUGGAAUUCCUGGUGUAGGAGUGAAAUCCGUAGAUAUCUGGAGGAACAUCAGUGGCGAAGGCGACUAUCUGGCACAUAACUGACGCUGAGGGGCGAAAGCGUGGGUAGCAAACAGGAUUAGAUACCCCUGGUAGUC
rnacentral:rRNA from 1 species